AAUUUAAAUUACUCAGAAAGUUCAUCAAAAAUAAGCUUUAAAUAAAGCAGUCCCAACCUAUGCAACCAUUAAUUGUUUAAGUCCUACAAAUUAAAUUAAAUACAUAACAACAACAAUAACAAUAAUAAAUAUAUUGAGCAUAUAUAUUUUAUCACAACCAUAAAUAUUAACACCACUUUAUCAAUAAGCCGGAAAUCUUACACUUGUAUUUGUAUAGCAAAUACAUCUUACGUAUCAAAUCACAUAUAAAAAAAAUUACAUUUUUUAUUGCAUGGAAUGGAAUGGCACCAUAAAUACGGAUGAGAAUUGUGUAAAAAGUUUUGUAAAAAACUUAGUCUUAUUGAUCCGCACCUACGUGUGUGUGUAUAUAUAUAUAUAUAUGAUUAAUUACUUGGAUGAAACCAAUGAUCUAACAUAAGGGCGCCGUCCGAUAAUGUUACCCGGCGGUGCAUAAUUGCAAGAAACAAUAUACCCACCAUUGUUACACCUCGCCCUACCGCAGCCGAGCCGGUUCGAGGUCUGCCAAACCACUUGGGUAUAAUGCCCACACACUCCCCCUACACAAGAGUUUGAGUUAUAGUCGUAAUAAGGCUUUUCCUUGACCCACAUAUCAACGGCCGCCGUGCCGGUUAAAGUAGGGAAGCCGUAGGCAAGGUUCUCGCCGUAGCCGCUGCCGCUCGAGUGGACAAGUCGGCAGCUGGAAAUCAAUGUGUUGGCGUAGUUUUGUGCGUAGGCAGCGACGGUGGUGUCCCAUCUCAUUGGCCCAACGCGGACUUGGGCACGGGCGGCGUUGUGGGCGUUGAGGUAGUCUUGUGGGGAGUUUUGAGCAUGGGAGGGAUGGAAAAUGGUACUUAAGAAAAUGAGUAGUGAAAUUUUGGUGAAUGCCAUUUUGUGGGGGUUUUGGUAUUGGAGAAAGGUGGUAUUGAUGAGUUAUUGGGCUAAGUUACAAUGAAGAUUAUUUAUAGAACAAGAAAGAGAAAAAAUAGAUCGAUGGUGAUUGCACAUAUCUUCAAUGGACGAUUUAUUCAUUUGGGCAGCCUAACAAAACAAGUUGUAUUUUAUAUAGUAUACAAAAGUCAUUUAAAAUUUAACACUAUUUAUAUAUAUAACAUGCAACUUAUUUAUAGUCUGCCCAUUUAAUUUUUAAUUGCCUGGAAUUCAAAUUGAGAAAUAUAUAUAUAUAUAUAUAUAUAUAUAUAUAUAUAUAUAUAUAUAUAUAUAUAUAUAUAUAUAUAUAUAUAUAUAUAUAUAUGUAGUGACACUUUUAUAUAUACGUAAUUAUUUUAGCAUCACUUAAGACUUUAAUAUUAUGAUGGAUAUAUUUAUUUUUUACUUUAUGUAGUGAUACUUUUAUAUAUACGUAAUUAUUUUAGCAUCACUUAAGAUUUUAAUAUUAUGAUGGAUAUAUUAUUUUUUACUUUAUGUUAUUUGUAUUAAUUUUUAUGACAAUAUAUAUAUAUAUAUAUAUAUAUAUAUAUAUAUAUAUAUAUAUUGGUCAUCUUUAAAUCCUUUUGAAGAUUAAAAAAUUUCAUCCCUCUAGUUUAAAGAUUUUGUAAGUUCAUUGAUAUGGUAGAACUUUAUAAGAGCAUUCAUAAUAAUUUUCUUAUCUCUAUUUCUAUUUUGCAAUGUCAUUAAGUCAUAUUCUUUAUAUUGAUUAUAUUGAUUCCUAGUUAAAUAAUAAAAUUUGAAAAUUUAAAGUUUCAACAGUCAAAGCAUGUUUUGACCGUUGUAACUAGGACUGAUCAUUCGGUUAUAACCGAACCGAAUAGGUUAUCCAGUUAUAACCGAAUACCAAAAUAAUCAUAAUUUUCCUAUCCGAAUUUGAUAAUAACCGAAUUACCGAAUACCGAAAUACCGAAUUGUAAAUUCGGGUAUUUCGAUUAAUAAUCGAACCUCCCUGUUAUCAUUUACAAUCAAAAAAAGAACAAUUACCGAAUUGUAAACCAUUACAUAUGAAUACUACUUUUUCCCAUGUCAACCUCCCUACAUAUUACAUAUGAACCUCCCUGUUUUAGAUUCCACCAUACAGAAGUACAUAUGAAGAAUUUUUUGAUUACUACCUUAGAAAAAAUAUUGAAGUACAAAUGAAGAAGCUCCGCUGAGAUCUCAGCCGUUCAUCUCUUCCGGCGUUUAUGAUGGUCACGGUGGCUCACAGCUAGAUCUCUACAAAAUUGAGCCAUGGGAUCUUGAAGGUUGAAGAACAGAGUCGUCGACUCGUCGACUCGCAGGGAGCUGCGCGGAGGCCGGAAAUUGACAGAGACAGAGAAAUCAAAACUGAGAGGCGAGGCUGAGAAGAAAGAUGAUAUGGUCGAUUUUGAAAGUCGAAACUGAGGUCUGAGAGACGGAGAGAAAAGAGGAUACGAGAUAUGGGAAAUAUGAUCUGGGAAUUGGGAUGAGUGAGAUCUCAGUCUCUCAGAUCUGAUCUAAUAUAAAAUUAAAACCAUAUAUUCAUAUUACUGAACUUUGUUAGUGGACAGGAAUUAGGAAGAGAAGACUUUUGUUAACAAGUGUUGGGGCCUGGGCAUGAUUUUGGGCCAUUCAGCAUUGGGCUAACUAUAGUAACCUUGUCCAGUAUAAAAUUUAUAUUAAUUUUUAAUUAAUAAUUUCGGUAAUUCGGAUACCCGAAUAAGCUAAUUUUAAAAAUCGAAUCCGAAACCGAAUACCGAGUAAUAAAUCGGAUAUAACCAAAAUUUGAAAAAAAACCGAAAAAUUGAAAUAAUUCGGUUAAAAUAAUUCGGUUGUGUUCGGUAAUUCGGUUUUAUCCGUUUUUUGCUCACUCCUAGUUGUAACUAUUUGACGUUUGUAUUGGUUUCAUGCGUUAGAGCUUAUGAUAGAUGUAAUAUACUUUUUAAUUAUAAAAUCACUAUUAAUUUAUUAAUCUUUUUUGAAGUAAAUAUGUUAUAUUUUUAAUUUUAAAAUUAAUAUAAAUUUAAUCAAUACAUAUUGUAACUUAUUUAGAAAAAAAUACUACUCAUUCCGUCCCAGGAUAAAAGUUUUUAUUACUAUUUUAGGUAGUGCUAAGUUAAAUGUUUACUUACCUUAAAUGAUCUAUUUUUUACAAUAAUUUGCCUAUAAUACCCUUAUUAUUAAUUGUUAUAUUUCUAUUCUCUAUGCAUAUUUAUGGGGCAUCACUAGUAAUGUACAGAAAACUAUGCAAUUAAAUGAGAAUUUAAAUAUAGACAAUUUUGUCAUUUUAUCAUAUUUCUUAAUAUGCGUAAAAAGUCAACUAGGACUUUUAUCUUGAGACAGAGGAAGUAUUACUUAUAAAAUUUAUUAUUUUUACAAUUCUCAGCAAAAUUAUUAAGUUUGAGAAUUCAUCAAAUUGACUUAUAAAAAUUAAUAAUAAUCUUAUAAUUUAUAUAAAAAAAAGAGAAUAUAAUUUAUCAAUUGUAUUCCACUGUAAAAUAACUUUUAUUUUAUUUUAAAUUUUAAGUAAUUUAUGGAGUGAGUAUUGAAUAGAUUGUAGCUGCAAAUGUACAUAAGAUCAAUAUUAACUUUUAAAAAGUUAAUUUGUGAUAUUUUUAAAUUUCAAAUUAAUAUGAUUCAUUUAAAUUUUAAAAAUAAUAAAUUUUAUAAUUAAUAGCACUUUUAUAAUAUUUAUAAUUAUAUGGACAUAAAUUAAAUAAAUUUAUAUCAAUUUUAAAUUUGAAUACGUUUGAAAUUAAUUUUUAAAAAAUAAGUCAAUAUUAAUUUUAUAAUUUGAAAACCAAGUAGUAAAAAAAUCAUGUGAUAAUAAUGUCAAGAUAUGUAUGAUUGAUGAGUUGUCCACUUAAAUGAGAGUGUGAAAUGUUAAUUUGUUUAUAUAGAGAACGAUCUUUUGACUCCCUCGCUCUGGGGAGUAAAAUUAUAUAUAGAGAUUAAAAUAGAGAAUUAAAUAAAAAUAAAUAAAUUAUUGAUAAUGAUUUAUGAAUAUAUUUUUUAAAAUUAAGAAUAUUGAAUUUAUUAAAAAAACUGGUUUGAAUGCUCUAAGUUUCUAAAUAUUGAGGAAUAUUACCUACUUAAUUAGGCCUAAAAGACGGGCCCGCCUAUGUAUUUUAUCAUUUUACAUGCCAUCAUUCCCUUAGCCGCCGGUAGCCUCUUCCCAAUCCAUGAUUUGGAUAAGAUCCGACGAACUUAAGAUUGCUUUUGUAGUACUUUUAGCAUAUACUACCUCCCUUCUUUUUUUAUUUCUUGUUUUAUAGAGGGAAAUUUGUUUUUUUAUUUGUUAUUUGUAAAUUUCAAAAGAGCAUUAAUGAAUUAAUUUUUUCAUAUUAUUCAUAUAUUAAAUAUCAGUUUGUUUCUCUUUUCAUUUUAUCUAAUAAAUUUUAGAAGGGGUAGUAUUGAGAUUUUAUAAUUAUUUUGGUCAAUCAGACAAAAUAUUAAUUGUAUUUAUUAUUUUUUGUGUUUUUUUAAAACGACAAGUAAAAAGAAAGAGAGAAUAUUCUCUUCAUUUCUAAUUACAAUUAUUAAAGAAGUUAAUUACUCCUGUAAUUACUCCAUUAAAAUUGUAAUGUAUUAUCAAAGAGCUCUUCCAUUUGGGGUCAAAAUAUAAAUACGUAAAAUUAUAAAAUAUAUACUCAUAUUCAAUUUUUAUAUCCGCAUAGAAUUUUUCAUUACAAAAAGCACCAUUUGCAUGGGAGCUCUUCUAUGAGUACAUGAUAAUUGGACAUGAGUGUUUUAUUAUUUCAUAUAUUUGUAUUUUUACUCCUCAUUGGGGAUAAAAAUAUAAAUAUAUGAAAUUAUAAGGGUCAUCUUAAUGAAUUGUGUAGACUUCUCUCUCCAAAAUAAAUUAGGAACAAGAGAGAGAGUUAUGGUAGGGAAAAAUUAAAAGAGAAAAUAGUCUUCGAAAGAUGAUAGAUAAUUAGUGAGUAUUGAUGUUUAGGGAUAAUUUAGGAAAUAGUGUAAUCAAUAUAUACUGAAAAUUUAUAAACGUCAAAUAUAUAAAAAUAAAAAUAACUCUUUAAAACACCAAAUAAUUAUGAACGAAGGGAUUACUAGAAGAGUAGAAGGUUUUAAAUAAAUUUUGUGUAUUACUCGCUCUUUUUCAUAAAAAGAGCUCUAUCUUUGAUUCCUUCUUGGUCAAAAAUUAAAUUAAAUUUUAAUUUAAUGUAAAAUUUUAUUUUGAUUAAUGCAAUAAUUUAUUCUAUUUAAAAUUAUUUCUAAGUAUAAAGUGUUGUUUUAAAAAUUAAAAUAACAUUAUUUUCUCUGAUAAUAUCAUUCGGCUUUCCAAGAAUUGAAAUAAAUAAUUUAAAUAUGAGCAAAUUUUAAAAUUCGAUAAAUUACUCGAACCUCUUCAAAUGGAUUAUAUUCACUCGAAAAGUUCAAACUGCUCGAGUUCGAUUAGAGAUCGUGCUCGACUCGAUAACUAAAAGAGCUUCAAUCAAACCUUAUUUCAUACUUGAUAAAAUUUUGAGAACUAAAUCUGAUAACUCAAUAGUCAGCUCAACUCGGUUAUAUUACAUCGAUCCCCUAAAACUUUCAUCCCUCCACCCGUCUCAAUUUAGUAUAUUUAAGUUAAUGUUGUUAUUCCUCUGUCCUUAAAAGGAUGUAUUAAAUAUAUUUUUUUAUAUAAAUUAAGAAAAGUAAAAAUAAAACUAAAAAAAGAGCAAAUUUUUUUUUAAUUUUUUUUUAGUUGUCUUACAAGAUUGCAUAGUGAUGAGUUCUCUUUCUUUUUUAUUUGUAUAUUAGUGAGUCAACUAAAUGAUAUACUUAUCUUUUAUUUUAUAUAUUUAUUAUCAUUUUUUUGAAAAAUAAUAAUUUUAAGUAACCUUUUAAUCCUUUUUGAGGAUUGAGGGAAUAAUUAGGCAAACAAAACCGGCCGCCUAUGUAUUUAUCAUUUUACGUGCGAACAUUCUCUUAUAGCCGCCGGUUGCUUCUUCCCAAUACCUACCUCCCUAUGGUGAUUUGGAUAAGAUCCAAGGAACUUAAGAUACUUUGACUUUUUUUGCUUUUAGCAUAUACUAGAUAUUCUUCACAGAAAAGUUCUAUUUUUAAAUUUUUUUAGUCAAAUAUUAAUCUAAAUUUUUAUUUUGAUUAAUACAAUAAUUUAUAUUAUAAACUAUUUAAAAAAUAUUUCUAUGUAUAAAAAAGUGUUAUUUUAAAAAUUAAAAUAAAUGUACACCACAAUUUAAAUUUUAAGAGUUUGCAAAAUUGAUUAUGAUCAAAGUAAAAUGUAACUCUUUUAUUUAAAUUAUAUAUGGUUAUUUGAGUACUUAAUGAUAUUAUAUUAUUCUUUAAAUGGGACUUUUAUUUGAUUUUUUUUUUUGUGGGGCAAAUGGAUUGCUCUUAGUGAAAUGUAGAAUUAGAGGAAGUCCUCUAACGUCCCCAAAUUCAGGUACUUUUAAACCCUUGAUCUAGUGCUCCACAUUACUACCUAUUCAAACAUUUUUUAACGACAUAAAUAUAAUCUAUGUAUUAUUACAAUAUGUCUCCGUCUAUUCCUAUGUUCUAAGACAUUUACAUCUUUACAUACGAUCUAAUAUUACAAAUUUAACAUAAUAUUAUAUCACAACCUGCACUUCUAUACGUAAAUCUUCUUCCUUAUCAUAUUCAUUUCUCUUAACCUCUUUUGACCAUUCUGGUCCUUCUGUUUUUGCUGCAAAAAUUUUGGACAUUUAAUUGCUCAACAAGUAUAACAGUUGAAAAAAAUAACAUUUUUAAGAAUAAAAUAAUAUUCUUCUUAAGUCUUCAACAAUUGAACAAUAAUUGUGAAACCACUCCAAUAAAUAGAAAUUAACUUAGAUUCCUAUCAUUUAACAUCUCUAUCACCAUAUUAAGAGAGAAUAUUUUUCAACUUUCUUACUAAAAGGUAAUUUGGACCUUGAACACUUUCUUCUUCUCAUGAAGGAUAAAUAAGUGCACGCUUAAACCUACAUAACAAAGAGUAAUUAUUUAUUCAUACUUACUAAGGUGUCGUUCAGACCUUUUAUCUUCUUAUAACUAUUAAGAAAAAAUAUUCUCUUCAUAGCACUUUAGAAUUCAGCCUAUUUUACUGAUAUACAUAAGUGAAAAUAAUCACAUUCUCAAGAUAUGUAUAAGAACAACACAAAUACAAGUUUUCAACAAGAUUAACAAUAUAGUAAAUUGAGUGGUUCUCCACCCAAAAACUUAUGAAUUAGUUCUCCAUCUCAGCAACAGUACUAUUACAAUUGUCUUCCAGUGUGUACCACUUCUGCGAUACUUCUACACUGUAACAACUGUUCUUCAGUGAGUUAGAUCGAUUUCCUAACACAUGUUAAAUCUCUGCUCAUACAAAAUAUUGUUCAACUCAAUUACUAACAUGCUAACCGCUAAAAAGCACGUUCUUGAACAAAUAGAUUCUGCCCAAAAAUAAUUUGGUUUGGAUUAGCUCUACUUAAUACCAAUGAUCUUCAAAGAAUUUUCAAUAAUUGAUCAACUUCUCAUCUUAACCUCUAUCUAGCCAAAACAAUUAGCAUUGACAUAUUUCUUUACAUAUUUCGCUAAUAAACGAAACAUAAAAUAUCGAACAGUUUCAUUUUUCAGAACUUUUCUUCUUAGGUUUGCACAUAAGUGUGGAUUUCGGCCUAACAUGUUAUUGCACAUAACAGUUAGCAAACACUUCAUUGCACAGGGUACAAUCAUAUCAAAUACUACUCACAUAACACAUUAUUACACGGGGUGCAAUACAUACGAAUAUUUGCCCAAAUUAUUAGCAUUGACAUAUUUCUCAACAAUAAAUAUUUCAAUUAGAAUAGCUCAACAAAUCGAGUUAUGCAUAAUCAAAUGACAAUAACUUUUUUCAUAGCUCAUUUCACAUAAUACGAUGAACUUCAUACAACAAAUGAAAUUUCACAGUCUAAAUGUAUGUCUUGCACAGAAUAAUAUAAUGUACAAGGGCAUAAAAUACUUGCAUUCAAUACAAUAUUUGAAUGGAUUUAAAACUUGCAACAAGUACAUCAAACUUGUAUAAGAUCAUAGACAAUUGCUUAACGCAUAAAGUUUGCACAUUGUACGAAAAACUUGCAUUCAACACAUAAAUUGAAUGAAAGUGUUGAAUACAAGUUAAGAUACUUGCUCAAUUACAAAAUUUGAGUAAGGUUAGAAAACUUGCAGAUAUACGUAAUUUAGACAAGAGUCGACCAGAAACUUGUCUGAUACGCAAUUUAUCGAAAUGUUACCAAUUCCUCUUUGAAUAACCUAUAUAUAUCAUUACCAAUUAGUCACAUGAUGAUGUCCAUAUUGAUUUAUUUUAUCUUAUUUCAUCGUACAUGAUGCUUGCGUUUUAUAACCCGACACAUUUUAAAUCAUACCCUUAUUUCAUAAAAGAAAGAGAGAGAGGGAGAGAGA
rnacentral:lncRNA from 1 species